rnacentral:rRNA from 1 species
GACGAACGCUGGCGGCGUGCUUAACACAUGCAAGUCGAACGAAAAGAGGGAAAGAGCUUGCUCUUUCCGGAAUUGAGCGGCAAACGGGUGAGUAACACGUAAACAACCUGCCUUCAGGAUGGGGACAACAGACGGAAACGACUGCUAAUACCGAAUAAGUUCCAAGGGCCGCAUGGCCCAUGGAAGAAAAGGUGGCCUCUACCUGUAAGCUAUCGCCUGAAGAGGGGUUUGCGUCUGAUUAGCUGGUUGGAGGGGUAACGGCCCACCAAGGCGACGAUCAGUAGCCGGUCUGAGAGGAUGAACGGCCACACUGGAAUUGAGACACGGUCCAGACUCCUACGGGAGGCAGCAGUGGGGAAUCUUCCGCAAUGGGCGAAAGCCUGACGGAGCAACGCCGCGUGAGUGAUGACGGCCUUCGGGUUGUAAAACUCUGUGAUCCGGGACGAAAAGGCAGAGUGCGAAGAACAAACUGCAUUGACGGUACCGGAAAAGCAAGCCACGGCUAACUACGUG